rnacentral:rRNA from 1 species
UAGUAUUUAGUUAUUGGUUAAUAUUUAUAUAAUAUAAAUUGAUUCUAUAGAUAAAUAAAAAGUGGAAUUCUUAUGUUAUUUUAUAGAUGUAGGAUAUUUAUAUAAGAGGCUAAAAAAUUUUAAAAAUAGACUAGGAUUAGAUACCCUAUUAUUUUAAAAUAUAAGUAAUAUACUAGAUUAUUAUAAGUUAGUUACUUUAAAUUUAAAAAAUUUGGCGGUAGUUUAGUCUAUUCAGAGGAACCUGUUUUUAAAUCGAUAUACCACGUAAAAUUUUACUUGUUUUGUAUGGUUUGUAUACCAUCAUUGUUAGAUAAUUUUUAAAGAAAA